GCACUUUAUACUGUGAAACUGCGAAUGGCUCAUUAAAUCAGUUAUCGUUUAUUUGAUAGUACCUUACUACAUGGAUACCUGUGGUAAUUCUAGAGCUAAUACAUGCUGAAAACCUCGACUUCGGAAGGGGUGUAUUUAUUAGAUAAAAAACCAAUGCCCUUCGGGGCUCCUUGGUGAAUCAUAAUAACUUAACGAAUCGCAUGGCCUUGCGCCGGCGAUGGUUCAUUCAAAUUUCUGCCCUAUCAACUUUCGAUGGUAGGAUAGUGGCCUACCAUGGUGGCAACGGGUAACGGGGAAUUAGGGUUCGAUUCCGGAGAGGGAGCCUGAGAAACGGCUACCACAUCCAAGGAAGGCAGCAGGCGCGCAAAUUACCCAAUCCCGACACGGGGAGGUAGUGACAAUAAAUACUGAUACGGGGCUCUUUUGGGUCUCGUAAUUGGAAUGAGUACAAUCUAAAUCCCUUAACGAGGAACAAUUGGAGGGCAAGUCUGGUGCCAGCAGCCGCGGUAAUUCCAGCUCCAAUAGCGUAUAUUAAAGUUGUUGCAGUUAAAAAGCUCGUAGUUGAACCUUGGGUCUGGCUGGCCGGUCCGCCUCACCGCGAGUACUGGUCCGGCUGGACCUUUCCUUCUGGGGAAUCUCAUGGCCUUCACUGGCUGUGGGGGG
rnacentral:rRNA from 1 species